CACAGUCCACAGCUUCUUAGCUAUCACGAGAUCAGUUGCCUCUGCCCUGAGAUCUGCUGGACGCGGUUCCAACUGGCCUCUUUUCAGGAUUCCUCCUUACAGCCUGAUGAGAAUGAAUAGGAGAUAAAGGACAAGGAGGAAAGAUCUGGUAGCCUGGCAAGUGAGAGAUGGAAAAAUGGGGGGACAAAUGAUGGUUUCCAAAAGAAGAGAAUCUUUAAACGACGUGCAUUUUAAGUGAAGAGUUCUGGAAGUUUCAUCCCUAUAAAGCUGUAGGGACGUCUACUCUAGAGUGAAGUUUUAUGGCAGCAGUCACAGGGAGAUACGCAAAGAUGAAUGGUGUUGCCUUGGAAUGAACGUUUUAUGAGUUCGCUCUGGUUGCUAGGUAUGUGCGAAACAUUCUUUCCUUGGGUCAGAGAUUUUAUUACCUUUCCAAUGGCCAGGGUUUCACUGUUAUAACUGAUGAAAAACAUUUGUGCCGUAUUCAAAGGGCUGAAUAACCAGCUCAUAACAACAGGCCACAUUUAUGGGGGAAAUUGGAGGAGUCACUUCAAUCCAAGCAGCCCAGACUAGUUCAGACCAGAGGCCGAAAGAGAAAGAGUAAAAGUGCCGGUCCCAGGGAGGCCAACUCAGGACACCAGCCACAGAAGCCAAAAUGUCCAGGAGAUAGGACUUAUUCCAAGACACACUUCACUCAUGUGCUCAUGAGGACCUUCAGUGAGGCAGCAGCAAACUUUGGUUCAAAUGAAAUCAUCAAGAAACCCACUGCACAGAAACAGAUAAAAGUAUAACUAUGACCUUAGGGGACAUUUGAGUUUCCUAAAUAAGAAAGAGAGUUGGUGAAAGAAACAGACAAGAGCUCAGAUGACAGAUCUCUCUCACUCUUUCUCUCCCCGCCAAACCCCCAACCUUAAUUAUUUCCACCACAUCAUACCACUUCCUUAUGGAGGCCUAACAAAUCUUCCUGAAUUCAUGUUUCAUCUCUCCAAUAACAUCAUCAUCCCCAUCACCUCUCG
rnacentral:lncRNA from 1 species